GUAGGGUGCGAGCGUUAAUCGGAAUUACUGGGCGUAAAGCGAGCGCAGACGGUUACUUAAGCAGGAUGUGAAAUCCCCGGGCUCAACCUGGGAACUGCGUUCUGAACUGGGUGACUAGAGUAUGUCAGAGGGGGGUAGAAUUCCACGUGUAGCAGUGAAAUGCGUAGAGAUGUGGAGGAAUACCGAUGGCGAAGGCAGCCCCCUGGGAUAAUACUGACGUUCAUGCUCGAAAGCGUGGGUAGCAAAC
rnacentral:rRNA from 1 species